GACAGAGGGGGCAAGCGUUGCUCGGAAUCACUGGGCGUAAAGGGCGCGUAGGCGGGAUGGCAAGUCGGUCGUGAAAUCCUUCGGCUCAACCGAAGAACGUCGGCCGAUACUGCCGUUCUUGAGGGAUGCAGAGGAGAUUGGAAUUCCCGGUGUAGCGGUGAAAUGUGUAGAGAUCGGGAGGAACACCGGUGGCGAAGGCGGGUCGUGCUCGGGCGCAUCGUCCUGACGCUCGAGGCGCGAAAGCGUGGGGAGCAAAACGG
rnacentral:rRNA from 1 species